CUGGCUCAGAUUGAACGCUGGCGGCGUGCUUAACACAUGCAAGUCGCGCGUGAAAGGACUUCGGUCCGAGUAAAGCGGCGCACGGGUGAGUAACGCGUGGAUGAUCUACCCAUGAGUUAGGAAUAACGGCUGGAAACGGUCGCUAAUACCAAAUACGCUCCGAUUUCGAACUUCGGGGGAAAGGUGGCCUCUGCUUGCAAGCUACUGCUCAUGGAUGAGUCCGCGUCCCAUUAGCUAGGUUGGUGGGGUAACGCCCACCAAGGCGACGAUGGGUAGCCGGUCUGAGAGGAUGACCGGCCACACUGGGACUGGAACACGGCCCAGACUCCUACGGGAGGCAGCAGUGGGGAAUAUUGCGCAAUGGGCGAAAGCCUGACGCAGCGACGCCGCGUGAGGGAUGAAGGUCCUCGGAUCGUAAACCUCUGUCAGGAGGGAAGAACCGCCACGGUGCUAAUCAGCCGUGGUCUGACGGUACCUCCAAAGGAAGCACCGGCUAACUCCGUGCCAGCCGCCGC
rnacentral:rRNA from 1 species